rnacentral:misc_RNA from 1 species
AAGUCGUAACAAGGUUUCCGUAGGUGAACCUGCGGAAGGAUCAUUAUCGAAUAAACUUGUACAGGUUGUUGCUGGCCCUUAGGGGUAUUGUGCACGCUUGUCAUCUUUAUCAUUUCUCCAAAACUGUGCACAUACUUGUAGACCUGGAGUGGGCUUUUUUAUUUCGAAUUCAUAUUCGAAGUUGGGGGACUGCUGCGCUUUUUCAUACACAAAAAAAAGUCGGCUUUCCCUUGUAUUUUUAAUAACCAGGUCUAUGUUUUCACAAAAACAUAUAUGUUUAGAAUGCUAUAAUAAAUAAAAAAAGUUAUAAACAACUUUCAGCAACGGAUCUCUUGGCUCUCGCAUCGAUGAAGAACGCAGCGAAAUGCGAUAAGUAAUGUGAAUUGCAGAAUUCAGUGAAUCAUCGAAUCUUUGAACGCAUCUUGCGCUCCUUGGUAUUCCUAGGAGCAUGCCUGUUUGAGUGUCAUAAAUAUCUCAACCGCACCCUAUGGUGGUGUGGCUUGGAUUUGGGGGUGGCAGGCUUAGUCUGCUCCCCUGAAAUACAUUGGCGGUGCCCGACGUGAUGUGAUAAAUUAUCCGCAUCUGUUUAUGAGCUGCCGUGUCGUGUUGGAGUUGAUAAACUUGACCUCAAAUCAGGUAGGACCACCCGCUGAACUUAAGCAUAUCAAUAAGCGGAGGAAAAGAAACUAACCAGGAUUCCCUUAGUAACUGCGAGUGAAGUGGGAAGAGCUCAAAUUUGUAAUCUGGUGACCCUUGGCCAUCCGAGUUGUAAUCUAAAGAA